GCUCCAGUGGUGCGAUCGGUCAGCGCGCGGUACUUAUAAUGCCGAGGUUGUGAGUUAGAGUCUCACCUGUAGCA
rnacentral:tRNA from 1 species